CGUAUAUAUAACAACGCUUUCACCCCAGAAGGGCAAUUGCGAAUAUCAAAUCUUCUUUGAAACCCUAAUCUCCAUUUGCAAAAAGACCGGGUGAAUUUUAUGUAUGCUUGCUUGGAUGAAUAUGCCUCUAUCUCUGUCGAGGCUGGGCCAAUCGUUGCCAUUUUCCAGAUUUUUCAGGUACUCUUCUUUCAAUCUCUUCCUUUCUCGGUGUAUGCCUCUGUUUUUACUGUGCGUGAACUGAUGAGCGAUAAGUGAUACCGCUGACUUCUUCAAUCGUUGUUUAGAGAACAGUGAUACCUUAUUAGGGGAUAAUUUGACAAUUUGGUUUGCUGUAUAUAAAUCAUUUUCGACACAAGGAAUAAGAGAUGAUCUGAAAAUGUUGGAUAUAGAGAAGGAUCAAGGUGCACAUUUUGAUUCAGUGAUGUGAGUUCUGCCUUGUACAAUCAUUAUUCAGAACAAUAACAUCAAUAAUCUUCAAAGAGUUUAGGUUGUUUCUAGGGCUUGUUCCACCUAGUACUUUUGAUGGGAGUCUGUACACUCCUUAACGUAUUGUGGUUUAAUACCAUGGAAAUAAUAAAUUGAGUUCGUAUAGGCAUUUUGGAUGUUAUUAUUGAAAUAUCCAUUCUAGCUAUAUUUUCAGUUACUCCACCCAUUUCGUAAAGUCUUCAACGUGAUAAUAGGAUUCUCCAAAUUGGGGUGUCAAAGAGUUUUAGAAAAUGUUCUUGGUGAAAAAAAAAAGAAAAAAAGAAAAAGAAAGUUGAAUGAAAAAUCACACUGAAUUGAAUUUUCAAUUUAUGGGCGGGUCGUAUAGGAUUUGUAAUCGGGGAUAAAAUCACCCGUCAGAUAGAGUAUGCUACCAAUGAGUAAAUUCUCCUAGGGUCCCUAACCUUUCCUACACAUGACAUCAAUGUCCCCAAUUUUUAUUUGUGCCACUCUAUGUCCCCAAUCUAUCAACGUUGUGCACACAAUUUCUCAGUGACACUGAAAACCUCUAAAUAGACAAUAAAUUAUCACAUGACACACAUCUGAUGCACAGUACAAUGAAAAAAAAGUUAGCUUUUUCAACCUUGAACAAUACAUACUCAAGGCCAAUUACAUUAAAACAAUAAGUCUUCGAAGUGGAGGGUAAUGUUUGAGCAAUUAUAAACAUCAAUCACUUAUCAUGCAUCUAUCGUGUGACAUAUUAGAGCAACUUCAAGAACCUCUUUAAAAGUAGAAUACUUUCUAUUUUAAAAAGUCAAUCUUUAAAAUUUUACUCCAAUAGACUCUUCAAUUUAACAUUUUAAAAUAGAGAGUGAGUUACCUCUCUAUAAUUUAAUGCUUGAGAGGUUUCAACUUCCAAUGUACAAUUUAUUGACUUAAUUAAAUAAUAUGUGCAAAUCUCAAUAUCGAAUCAUUGAAUCACAGUAAAAAUACAUGAGCACUUUAAAAUUAAAUGUUAAAAACAAUCAAUACAUAUUGAGCAUGCUAAAAUUAAAUAUUAAAAAUAAAGAGGCCAUCGGAGCACUUUAAAAUUUUUGCUCUUUAAAUUUAUAGAUGCUCUUUAAAUUGUAGAAUAUUCUCUUUAAAAAUAGAAAGUUUCUUGGAUAUGCUCUUACUUUCCGUUUAGACUAUUUCAUCGAGUUGGAACACUGUGCACCCAAUGCUAAAAUAUUGGAGAUAUGAAUGACCCAAUUAGGAAAAGAUUGGAGACCUAGGAGAAUUUAUCUAUAACAAAUUUAUAAAUUCUCUAACAAAUUAAAUGCAUGUUUGGAUGCUGUUUAUAUUCUAUUUAAUCGUAAGUAUAUAGAAAUGAGUGAUGAAUAAAUAAGUAAUAAUCUCGAAUCUCACAAAUAUGUGAAUAAAAGUAGUUAAAUCGAUUAUAAAUAAAUUAAAAACAAGAGGCUAAAAAGGACUUAAGGGAACAUUUAUUUGCUAAAGAACCGUAAGUUAUAAACAUCCUUCACGAAAGAAUAAUUGUGUGUAAAAUUUUCAGGAACAUAGAGAACUGAAAUUCAAACAAAAAAAGCAAACCCAUCAUAAUAUCAUAUUAAAACAUGUCUACAAUGAGUUACGUGUAAGUGAAAUGUCAUUUGAAUGCACGAAUGAAUCUCUAGAUGUGCCCAAAAAAUUGAAGAUAUGGAGUGAGAACAAAAUUUUGUUCCAUUUUGAUCUGAACCCAUAGAUUUUCUCCUCAUAACAGGUGUGAUUGUUGACUAACUUGUUAGGAUUGAUUUAUUUAUUCAUAUUUAUAUCUCUAACAUGCCCCUUCACACAGUGUUAGGAUUGAUUUUGUUUAUCGAAGACUCCAUACAUGUUUCACUAAAGGGUAGUGGCGAGACUUCAACUCCGACAUUUUGUUAUUCAGAUACCACCUUUAUCUAAAACUUUAAGCCCCUAUAGAGGGGAUACAUUUAUUUAGAAAUAUUUUCAACAGUAACAACUGAGGAUCUUAAUUGGUUGAUAGUGUUUUUUUUUUUUUUUUUUUUUUUGGGGUAAAUAUGAAAUGUAUUGAUAAAAAAAUAUCUAUUCAAAUACACCGGGCAUUCCCAAGCUUACGAGUCCAAAUCAAGUACAUAUACAAUUACACUAGGCAUUCCUGGGCGGAUAAUUUUUCAAAUAGAUUGGCAAAAUGAACAGUCAAAGAAUAAAUGACUUGUUGUCUCAUCCAUGCGUUCGCAAAAUCAGCACUUAUGGUCAAUCUGGAGAUAUUCCAAUAUGUCCUUUGUAAGUAGUUUAGAUUUGACUGCCAACCACAAGAUAAAAACGUGAUUUGGUGUCACAUAUGAGUUCCAAACAGAGCUGGCCCAGAUUACCUUAGUUCCCUUUGGCCUGAAAUGCGCAUAAGCAAGAUAGAUUUAUUCUUAAUUGGUUGAUAGAUUUAUGUUUCCUUGUGUCAUGGUUGAGCACAUGUUUGUAUUCAAUAAAAACUGACAUUGUAUCUCGGACAUUUUCUCCACAGGCAACUGGAGAAGGAUAUGGAAACUGUGGUUAAGGUUCUUCAACCUGGACCCUUGGGAAUUAUUGAACACAAGUUUACAGUCGAGGAGAUACAUAGGGCAAAUUCAACUGUUAGGAGAGCUGUAGAGAAUUGGCGUCGGAGUGCCUACAUUGAGCAGAAUAGUCCUUUCAUGAAAGAUUUCAUUGACAAAUGACAAAACACUUGUUAGUUUAUUUCUCCAAAUAAUGUUCUGAUCCAAGAUCAAAUCAAGUAAAUUUUUAAGCCCUUGAAUACUUUGUAUACAUGCUUAUGUACUAUCGGCUGUAAAUUUUUGAGCUCCUGAAUACUUUGUAUACAUGCUUAUGCACCAUCGGCUUCACUGGGAGCAGUUUUCUUUCAUUAACUUGGAUUCAGCACACAGAGUCAUUUUCAAGCGAAUCAUCAAGGAUAGUUCCUCUUAAGAGCUUAUGUACUAUCGGCUUCACUGUGCAUGAGCUUGAUCAAGAUGCAUAGGGCACUAGGCUGCAACCCAACUGUUCCGGCAGUGUUUAUUGGUGGUCGAUAUGUCGGCUUGGCUAAAGAUGUAAUCUCCCUUCAUGUUGAUGGAUCUCUAAAGCAAAAGCUGAUUGAUGCCAAGGCUAUUUGGUUUUAGGAAUCAAUAUGGUAGCACCUAAUAUAUUAUGUUAGUGCCAUAGUUAUCAUGUGAAGCUUGUGAACUGUAAUUAAGAGCUUCCCUGGUUUUGUAAACUAUGGCCGCCAACCACCCCCCCCCCCCCCCCCCCCCCCGCCGCCCAACAAACAAAAAAAUUAAUAAUAAAAAAAAUCAAAGUCAACUUUUUUGGUGACGUGUGCUGUAAUGAAAAAUCCUAGCUUCAAGGAAAUGACUAGUUAGAAAUUGUCUUUCCUCCUAGGAAAAAUCCUAGCUCUUUUUAAUAUUUUAAUGUACGAUGUUGAGUAUACAAUACCGUACACUUAGUAUUUCGACAACGUAUCAACUAAAUGCACAGAGACAAAUGUG
rnacentral:lncRNA from 1 species